rnacentral:rRNA from 1 species
CCUACGGGUGGCAGCAGUGGGGGAUAUUGCACAAUGGGGGAAACCCUGAUGCAGCGACGCCGCGUGUGGGAAGACGGUCCUCUGGAUUGUAAACCACUGUCCCCAGGGACGAAGAUGACGGUACCUGGGGAGGAAGCUCCGGCUAACUACGUGCCAGCAGCCUCGGUAAUACGUAGGGAGCGAGCGUUGUCCGGAAUUACUGGGUGUAAAGGGAGCGUAGGCGGGGAUGCAAGUUGGGUGUCAAAACUACCGGCUCAACUGGGAGGCGCACUCAAAACUGCAGCUCUUGAGUGAAGUAGAGGCAGGCGGAAUUCCUGGUGUAGCGGGGAAAUGCGUAGAUAUUAGGAAGAAAAACAGUGGCGAAGGCGGCCUGCUGGGCUUUGAAUGACGCUGAGGCUCGAAAGUGUGGGGAGCAAACAGGAUUAGAUACCCUGGUAGUC